rnacentral:rRNA from 1 species
CCUACGGGAGGCAGCAGUGAGGAAUAUUGGUCAAUGGACGGAAGUCUGAACCAGCCAUGCCGCGUGCAGGAAGACGGCUCUAUGAGUUGUAAACUGCUUUUGUACAAGGGUAAACCUGAAUACGUGUAUUCAGCUGAAAGUACUGUACGAAUAAGGAUAGGCUAACUCCGUGCCAGCAGCCGCGGUAAUACGGAGGAUCCAAGCGUUAUCCGGAUUUAUUGGGUUUAAAGGGUGCGUAGGCGGAUUGAUAAGUUAGAGGUGAAAUGUCCGAGCUUAACUCGGGAACUGCCUCUAAUACUGUUGGUCUAGAGUGUAGAUGCGGUAGGCGGAAUGUAUGGUGUAGCGGUGAAAUGCUUAGAGAUCAUACAGAACACCGAUUGCGAAGGCAGCUUACCAAUCUAUAUCUGACGUUGAGGCACGAAAGCGUGGGGAGCAAACAGGAUUAGAUACCCCAGUAGUC